GUAUUUUUAUUUAAAAAAAAUUUCAGUCACAAAAUGAGGCUUAUAUUGAUAUUGGGCAUUACUUAUGGUAGAAUCGCUCAAAAAAUUGAACGACGCCUACCAAAAGCAAAAAAAAACUUCAAUAUGUGCGCACAGUGGUUGAUCUGGACUACCUCUCUCGGGCUUUUUUACGGCCAGGAGGGCAGAUACCUUUAAUGAUCCUUCCGCAGGUUCACCUACGGAAA
rnacentral:misc_RNA from 1 species